rnacentral:tRNA from 1 species
GCUACUGUAGCUCAGUUGGCAGAGCAGCUGAUUUGUAAUCAGCAGGUCGUCAGUUCGAAUCUGACCAGUAGCU